AUCACGGCGAGCUACCAGGGCCAUGCCCCGUUAGGGAGACGUAGGGAUCUUAAAUGAAACCUACAGUGACGUGGAGUAGCGUUCAAGCAGAGAUAUCUUAGUUUAUGUUUUGUCUCUCACAUGACAUGUAACGCAAGUAAUCAUAAUAUUAUCUGUCCAAGUCUUUGAUGAUUCUCCAGAGCUGUGAAUAAUGAAUCGUAAACUUAACCCUAUACUCUGCUGCCAGUGGACGUCUGGCAGGUUAGGAAAUGCCAGUCAGAGACUGAUAGAUCCAUCCUCUGGAGUUGGGGGAACCCAAUAUGUUGCCCCUGGAUGAUAUAAACAAGGAGAGGUUGACCGUCACCCUCAUGGAUGCUAAUCAUUGUCCAGGGGAGGGCAUGUUCCUAUUCCAAGGAUACUUCGGAACCAUACUCUACACUAGCAGAACACUGUAUUCCACUGUACCACACAAUACUCUACAGGGGGACGAGGGAAAGAUGAAUGAAGUAAAGUACAGUGAGAUCCUUGAUGAAACCUGCUCCAGAGCACUCAGGACCUCACAAUGGGUUGAAGGUUCACCUGCCAACAUGACAACAACCCUAAGCACAAAAAAUCCUGCCAAGAGUGUGCAAAGCUGUGAUCAAUGCAACUUUGAAGUGUGGCUACUUUGAAUGAUCUAAAAUAUAUUUUGAUUUGUUUAAUUCUUUUUUUGGUUACUACAUGAUUCCAUAUAUGUUAUUUAAUAGUUUUGAUCUAUUAUUCUACAUUGUAGAAAAUAGUAAAAAUAAAGAAAAACCCUUAAAUGAGUAGGUGUGUCCAAACUUUUGACUGGUACUGUAUGUUUAAAAAAAAGGAUUAAAGUGUUAAUGUUGACAUUGAAUUGCUAUUU
rnacentral:lncRNA from 1 species